AACGAACGCUGGCGGCAUGCCUAACACAUGCAAGUCGAACGCGUGGCGUUCGGCCACGAGUGGCGCACGGGUGAGUAACGCGUGGGAACCUGCCCAUCGGUACGGAACAACCGCGGGAAACUGCGGCUGAUACCGUAUAUACCCUACGGGGAGAGAUUUAUCGCCGAUGGAGGGGCCCGCGUCGGAUUAGGUAGUUGGUGGGGUAACGGCCUACCAAGCCUGCGAUCCGUAGCUGGUCUGAGAGGAUGAUCAGCCACACU
rnacentral:rRNA from 1 species